rnacentral:rRNA from 1 species
AACGCGAAGAACCUUACCUGGGUUUGACAUGCAACUGACAGUAUCAGAGAUGAUAUCUUCUCGCAAGAGACAGUUGCACAGGUGCUGCAUGGCUGUCGUCAGCUCGUGCCGUGAGGUAUUGGGUUAAGUCCCGCAACGAGCGCAACCCUUGUCGUUAGUUGCCAGCGCGUAAUGGCGGGCACUCUAGCGAGACUGCCUGGGUGAACCAGGAGGAAGGUGAGGAUGACGUCAAGUCCGCAUGGCCUUUAUAUCCAGGGCUACACACGUGCUACAAUGGUCGGUACAAUAGGCAGCAAGACCGCAAGGUGGAGCAAAUCCUUUAAAGCCGGCCCCAGUUCAGAUUGGAGUCUGCAACUCGACUCCAUGAAGUUGGAAUUGCUAGUAAUGGCAUAUCAGAACGAUGCCGUGAAUACGUUCCCGGGCCUUGUACACACCGCUCGUC